GACGAACGCUGGCGGCGUGCCUAACACAUGCAAGUCGGGCGGGGUUGAAGCGAGGGGUAACUCGGACUUCUACCUAGCGGCGGACGGGUGAGUAACGCGUGGGCAACCUGCCUCAAGGUUUGGGAUAACAGCUCGAAAGGGCUGCUAAUACCGGAUAUGCCUGUGGCCUCGCAUGGGGCCAUGAGCAAAGGGGAAACCCGCCUUGAGAUGGGCCCGCGUCCCAUCAGCUAGUUGGUGAGGUGAAGGCUCACCAAGGCGACGACGGGUAGCCGGCCUGAGAGGGUGACCGGCCACACUGGGACUGAGACACGGCCCAGACUCCUACGGGGGCAGCAGUGGGGGAUCUUGCACAAUGGGCGAAAGCCUGAUGCAGCGACGCCGCGUGAGCGAAGAAGGCCUUCGGGUGUAAAGCUCUGUCUGGAGGACGAAACAAAUGACGGUACCUCCGGAGGAAGCCACGGCUAACUACGUG
rnacentral:rRNA from 1 species